rnacentral:rRNA from 1 species
UGGUCAAGUUAUUAAGGGUGCAGGGCGGAUGCCUUGGCACUAGGAGCCGAUGAAGGACGUGAUAAGCUGCGAUAAGCUUCGGGGAGUUGCACGUAAACUUUGAUCCGAAGAUUUCCGAAUGAGGAAACUCACUUAGAGUAAUGUCUAAGUAUCAUUAAGUGAAUACAUAGCUUAAUGAGGGGAACUCAGGGAACUGAAACAUCUAAGUACCUGAAGGAAGAGAAAGAAAUUCGAUUCCGUAAGUAGCGGCGAGCGAACGCGGAUUAGCCCAAACCAAUAAAGUUUUCUUUAUUGGGGUUGCGGACAUAUCAUAACGAAGAGGUAUCGUAAUUGAAGAGGUUUGGAAAGACCCACCACAGAAGGUAAUAGUCCUGUAUGUUAAACGAGAAGACUUCAGAUAUGAUCCAGAGUACCACGGGACACGUGAAACCCUGUGGGAAGCAGGAGGGACCACCCUCCAAGGCUAAAUACUACCUAGUGACCGAUAGCGUAUAGUACCGUGAGGGAAAGGUGAAAAGAACCCCGGGAGGGGAGUGAAAUAGAACCUGAAACCCUGCACUUACAAGCUGUGGAAGCACAUUUCUUGUGUGACCGCGUACUUUUUGUAGAACGGGCCAACGAGUUACGUUAAGUAGCAAGGUUAAGCACUUAAGGUGCGGAGCCGUAGCGAAAGCGAGUUUUAACUGAGCGUUCAGUUACUUGACGUAGACCCGAAACCGGGCGACCUACCCAUGAGCAGGAUGAAGCGAAAGUAAAAUUUCGUGGAGGUCCGAACCCACGAGCGUUGAAAAGCUCGGGGAUGACUUGUGGGUAGCGGUGAAAUUCCAAUCGAGCCCGGAGAUAGCUGGUUCUCCCCGAAAUAGCUUUAGGGCUAGCCUCAAGGUGAGAGAUACGGAGGUAGAGCACUGAAUGUCCUAGGGGGUAUUGCACCUACCGAAGACUAUCAAACUCCGAAUGCCGUCAUCUUAUACUUGGGAGUCAGACUGUGGGUGAUAAGAUUCAUAGUCGAAAGGGCAACAGCCCAGAUCGUCAGCUAAGGUCCCUAAAUGUAAGUUAAGUGGUAAAGGAUGUGGGAUUGCACAGACAACCAGGAUGUUGGCUUAGAAGCAGCCACUCAUUCAAAGAGUGCGUAAUAGCUCACUGGUCGAGUGAUCCUGCGCCGAAGAUUUCCGGGGCUAAAACUUACUACCGAAGCUACGGCAUCAGUAAUGAUGGGUAGGGGAGCUUCCCAUACGGGUUGAAGCAUGACCGUAAGGACAUGUGGACAGUAUGGGAGUGAGAAUGUUGGCAUGAGUAGCGAGAUGUGGGUGAGAAUCCCACAGGCCGUAAACCCAAGGUUUCCAGGGGAAGGUUCGUCCGCCCUGGGUUAGUCGGGACCUAAGCUGAGGCCGAAAGGCGUAGGUGAUGGACAACAGGUUGAUAUUCCUGUACUACCGAUAACCGUUUGAGAGAAGGGAUGACACAGUAGGAUAAGCUAAGCACACUGUUGGUUAUGUGUGCCCAAGCAUUGAGGCAGUCAAAGUAGGCAAAUCCGCUUUGAUAAUGCUGGGAUGUGAUGGGGAGCGAAAUUUAGUAGCGAAGUAGCUGAUUUCACACUGUCAAGAAAAGUCUCUAUCGAGGUUAAAGGUACCCGUACCGCAAACCGACACAGGUGGGUGAGGAGAGUAUCCUAAGGCCAGCGAGAGAACUGUUGUUAAGGAACUCGGCAAAAUGACCCCGUAACUUAGGGAUAAGGGGUGCCACCAUCAGGUGGCCGCAGAGAAUAGGCCCAAGCGACUGUUUACCAAAAACAUAGGUUUCUGCUAAGUCGCAAGACGAUGUAUAGGAGCUGACGCCUGCCCGGUGCUGGAAGGUUAAGGGGAUCUGUUAGAGCAAUCGAAGCAGUGAACUUAAGCCCCAGUAAACGGCGGCCGUAACUAUAACGGUCCUAAGGUAGCGAAAUUCCUUGUCGGGUAAGUUCCGACCCGCACGAAAGGCGUAACGAUUUGGGCACUGUCUCAACAACAGACUCGGUGAAAUUGUAAUUCCGGUGAAGAUGCCGGAUACCUGCGACAGGACGGAAAGACCCCAUGGAGCUUUACUGUAGCUUGACAUUGGGUCUUGGUACUACAUGUACAGGAUAGGUGGGAGGCUUUGAAACCAGGACGCCAGUUUUGGCGGAGCCAUCCUUGGGAUACCACCCUUGUAGUACUGGGACUCUAACCAUAGGCCAUGAAUC